CCUACGGGAGACAGCAGUGAGGAAUAUUGGUCAAUGGACGAGAGCCUGAACCAGCCAAGUAGCGUGAAGGAUGACUGCCCUAGGGGUUGUAAACUUCUUUUAUAAAGGAAUAAAACGAGGCACGGGUGCCUUUUUGCAUGUUCUUUAUGAAUAAGGAUCGGCUAACACCCGGCCAGCAGCCGCGGUAAUACGGAGGAUCCGAUCGUUAUCCGGAUGUAAUGGGUGUAAAGGGAGCGUAGAUGGGUUGUUAAGUCAGUUGUGAAAGUUUGCGGCUCAACCGUAAAAUUGCAAUUGAUACUGGCAGGCUUGAGUGCAGUAGAGGUAAGCGGAAUUCGUGGUGUAGCGGUGAAAUGCUUAGAUAUCACGAAGAACCCCGAUUGCGAAGGCAGCUUACUAAACUGUGACUGACGUUGAUGCUCGAAAGUGUGGGGAUCAAACAGGAUUAGAUACCCCAGUAGUC
rnacentral:rRNA from 1 species